GACGAACGCUGGCGGCGUGCUUAACACAUGCAAGUCGAGCGGAAAGGCCCUUCGGGGUACUCGAGCGGCGAACGGGUGAGUAACACGUGAGCAACCUGCCCUAGGCUUUGGGAUAACCCCGGGAAACCGGGGCUAAUACCGAAUAGGACCUGACCCCGCAUGGGGUUGGGUGGAAAGUUUUUCGGCCUGGGAUGGGCUCGCGGCCUAUCAGCUUGUUGGUGGGGUGAUGGCCUACCAAGGCGACGACGGGUAGCCGGCCUGAGAGGGCGACCGGCCACACUGGGACUGAGAUACGGCCCAGACUCCUACGGGAGGCAGCAGUGGGGAAUAUUGCACAAUGGGCGAAAGCCUGAUGCAGCAACGCCGCGUGCGGGAUGACGGCCUUCGGGUUGUAAACCGCUUUCAGCAGGGACGAAGUGAAAAUGACGGUACCUGCAGAAGAAGCACCGGCUAACUACGUGCCAGCCGCCGCCGUAACAC
rnacentral:rRNA from 1 species